AUUGAACGCUGGCGGCAUGCUUUACACAUGCAAGUCGAACGGUAACAGGCCUUCGGGUGCUGCCGAGUGGCGAACGGGUGAGUAAUGCAUCGGAACGUACCCAGAGGUGGGGGAUAACGCAGCGUAAGCUGUGCUAAUAUCGCAUGUGAUCUGAGGAUGACAGCGGGGGACCGAGCAGCAAUGUUUGGCCUCGCGCCUUUGGAGCGGCCGAUGUCGGAUUAGCUAGUUGGUGGGGUAAAGGCCUACCAAGGCGACGAUCCGUAGCUGGUCUGAGAGGACGACCAGCCACACUGGAACUGAGACACGGCCCAGACUCCUACGGGAGGCAGCAGUGGGGAAUUUUGGACAAUGGGCGCAAGCCUGAUCCAGCAAUGCCGCGUGCGUGAAGAAGGCCUUCGGGUUGUAAACCGCUUUUGGCAGGAACGAAACGGUGUCCGCUAAUACCGGGCGCUAAUGACGGUACCUGCAGAAUAAGCACCGGCUAACUACGUG
rnacentral:rRNA from 1 species